CCUACGGGAGGCAGCAGUAGGGAAUCUUCCGCAAUGGACGAAAGUCUGACGGAGCAACGCCGCGUGAGCGAUGAAGGCCUUCGGGUCGUAAAGCUCUGUUGUUAGGGAAGAAUAAGUGCUAGUUGAAUAAGCUGGCACCUUGACGGUACCUAACCAGAAAGCCACGGCUAACUACGUGCCAGCAGCCGCGGUAAUACGUAGGUGGCAAGCGUUGUCAUCGGAAUUAUUGGGCGUAAAGCGCGCGCAGGCGGUUUCUUAAGUCUGAUGUGAAAGCCCCCGGCUCAACCGGGGAGGGUCAUUGGAAACUGGGAAACUUGAGUGCAGAAGAGGAAAGUGGAAUUCCAAGUGUAGCGGUGAAAUGCGUAGAGAUUUGGAGGAACACCAGUGGCGAAGGCGACUUUCUGGUCUGUAACUGACGCUGAGGCGCGAAAGCGUGGGGAGCAAACAGGAUUAGAUACCCUGGUAGUCCACGCUGUAAACGAUGAGUGCUAGAGUGCCUUAGAGGGUUUCCGCCCUUUAGUGCUGAAGUUAACGCAUUAAGCACUCCGCCUGGGGAGUACGGUCGCAAGACUGAAACUCAAAGGAAUUGACGGGGGCCCGCACAAGUGGUGGAGCAUGUGGUUUAAUUCGAAGCAACGCGAAGAACCUUAC
rnacentral:rRNA from 1 species